rnacentral:rRNA from 1 species
CCUACGGGAGGCAGCAGUGGGGAAUUUUCCGCAAUGGGCGAAAGCCUGACGGAGCAAUACCGCGUGAGGGAGGAAGGCUCUUGGGUUGUAAACCUCUUUUCUCAAGGAAGAAAACAAUGACGGUACUUGAGGAAUAAGCAUCGGCUAACUCCGUGCCAGCAGCCGCGGUAAUACGGAGGAUGCAAGCGUUAUCCGGAAUGAUUGGGCGUAAAGCGUCCGCAGGUGGCCGUGUAAGUCUGCUGUUAAAUAGUGAGGCUCAACCUCAUAAAGGCAGUGGAAACUACACGGCUAGAGUGCGUUCGGGGCAGAGGGAAUUCCUGGUGUAGCGGUGAAAUGCGUAGAGAUCAGGAAGAACACCGGUGGCGAAAGCGCUCUGCUAGGCCGCAACUGACACUGAGGGACGAAAGCUAGGGGAGCGAAUGGGAUUAGAUACCCCAGUAGUCCUAGCCGUAAACGAUGGAUACUAGGCGUGGCUUGUAUCGACCCGAGCCGUGCCGUAGCUAACGCGUUAAGUAUCCCGCCUGGGGAGUGCGCAGGCAACUGUGAAACUUAAAGGAAUUGACGG